rnacentral:rRNA from 1 species
UACGUAGGGACCAAGCGUUGUUCGGAUUUACUGGGCGUAAAGGGCGCGUAGGCGGCAAUUCAAGUCAGUUGUGAAAUCUCCGGGCUUAACUCGGAAAGGUCAACUGAUACUGUGCGACUAGAGUGCAGAAGGGGCAACUGGAAUUCUCGGUGUAGCGGUGAAAUGCGUAGAUAUCGAGAGGAACACCUGCGGCGAAGGCGGGUUGCUGGGCUGACACUGACGCUGAGGCGCGAAAGCCAGGGGAGCGAACGGG